rnacentral:rRNA from 1 species
AAUGAACGCUGGCGGCAUGCCUAACACAUGCAAGUCGAACGGAAACACGAGUGGCUGCCUCCGGUGACGUGAGGGGCGGGCGGGUGAGUAACAUGUGGAUAAGUCACGUAUAGGACGGGAGUAACGCCGAAGCAGCAGUAAUAAUACCGGAGAAUAAAGGAAGCCGGAGGGGGCAAUAGGGAAAUACGGCUUUGCGGUUGGUCGAAGGCUGAUUAGCUAGUUGGUGGGGUAAAGGCAUACCAAGGCCACGAUCCGUAGCCGGUCUGAGAGGGUGAUCAGCCACACUGGAACUGAGACACGGUCCAGACUCCUACGGGAGGCAGCAGUGGGGAAUCUUGGACAAUGGGCGAAAGCCUGAUCCAGCAACGCCGCGUGUGUGAUGAAGGCCUUCGGGUCGUAAAGCUCUUUUGUUAGGAAAGAAAAACUGUGUCCUAAUACGUGCACGUGUUGACGGUACCUAAUGAGAAAGCACCGGCUAACUACGUG